rnacentral:rRNA from 1 species
CUAAGGUUUCCAGGGGAAGGCUCGUCCGCCCUGGGUUAGUCGGGACCUAAGGAGAGACCGAAAGGUGUAUCCGAUGGCCAACAGGUUGAUAUUCCUGUACUAGAGUAUAUAGUGAUGGAGGGACGCAGUAGGCUAACUAAACCGGACGAUUGGAAGAGUCCGGCUAAGCAGUGAGGUGUAAGAUGAGUCAAAUGCUUAUCUUUAUAACAUUGAGCUGUGAUGGGGAGCGAAUUUUAGUAGCGAAGUUAGUGAUGUCACACUGCCAAGAAAAGCUUCUAGCGUUUAAUGAUACUCUACCCGUACCGCAAACCGACACAGGUAGUCGAGGCGAGUAGCCUCAGGUGAUCGAGAGAACUCUCGUUAAGGAACUCGGCAAAAUGACCCCGUAACUUCGGGAGAAGGGGUGCUGACUUUAAGUCAGCCGCAGUGAAUAGGCCCAAGCAACUGUUUAUCAAAAACACAGCUCUCUGCUAAAUCGUAAGAUGAUGUAUAGGGGGUGACGCCUGCCCGGUGCUGGAAGGUUAAGAGGAGUGCUUAGCGUAAGCGAAGGUAUGAAUUGAAGCCCCAGUAAACGGCGGCCGUAACUAUAACGGUCCUAAGGUAGCGAAAUUCCUUGUCGGGUAAGUUCCGACCCGCACGAAAGGCGUAAUGAUUUGGGCACUGUCUCAACGAGAGACUCGGUGAAAUUUUAGUACCUGUGAAGAUGCAGGUUACCCGCGACAGGACGGAAAGACCCCAUGGAGCUUUACUGCAGUUUGAUAUUGAGUGUCUGUACCACAUGUACAGGAUAGGUAGGAGUCAUUGACUUCGGGACGCCAGUUUCGAAUGAGGCGCUGUUGGGAUACUACCCUUGUGUUAUGGCUACUCUAACCCAGAUAGGUUAUCCCUAUCGGAGACAGUGUCUGACGGGCAGUUUGACUGGGGCGGUCGCCUCCUAAAGAGUAACGGAGGCGCCCAAAGGUUCCCUCAGAUUGGUUGGAAAUCAAUCGCAGAGUGUAAAGGUAUAAGGGAGCUUGACUGCGAGAGCUACAACUCGAGCAGGGACGAAAGUCGGGCUUAGUGA